rnacentral:rRNA from 1 species
AACGAACGCUGGCGGCAUGCCUAACACAUGCAAGUCGAACGAGACCUUCGGGUCUAGUGGCGCACGGGUGCGUAACGCGUGGGAACCUGCCCUUAGGUUCGGAAUAACUCCCCGAAAGGGGUGCUAAUACCGGAUAAUGUCUUCGGACCAAAGAUUUAUCGCCUUUGGAUGGGCCCGCGUUGGAUUAGCUAGUUGGUAGGGUAAAAGCCUACCAAGGCGACGAUCCAUAGCUGGUCUGAGAGGAUGAUCAGCGACACUGGGACUGGGACACGGCCCAGACUCCUACGCGAGGCAGCAGUGGGGAAUAUUGGACAAUGGGCGAAAGCCUGAUCCAGCUAUGCCGCGUGAGUGAUGAAGGCCUUAGGGUUGUAAAGCUCUUUUACCCGGGAUGAUAAUGACAGUACCGGGAGAAUAAGCACCGGCUAACUCCGUG